CCUAACACAUGCAAGUCGAGCGAUGAAAUCCUUCGGGAUGGAUUAGCGGCGGACGGGUGAGUAACACGUGGGUAACCUGCCUUGUAGAGGGGGAUAGCCUUCCGAAAGGAAGAUUAAUACCGCAUAACAUCUUUUUAUCGCAUGGUAGAAAGAUCAAAGGAGCAAUCCGCUACAAGAUGGACCCGCGGCGCAUUAGCUAGUUGGUGAGGUAACGGCUCACCAAGGCGACGAUGCGUAGCCGACCUGAGAGGGUGAUCGGCCACAUUGGAACUGAGACACGGUCCAGACUCCUACGGGAGGCAGCAGUGGGGAAUAUUGCGCAAUGGGGGAAACCCUGACGCAGCAACGCCGCGUGAAUGAAGAAGGCCUUAGGGUUGUAAAGUUCUGUUUACGGGGACGAUAAUGACGGUACCCGUGGAGGAAGCCACGGCUAACUACGUGCCAGCAGCUGC
rnacentral:rRNA from 1 species